UUUGCCCCAUAGCAAAAUGUGUAUAAUUGCAGGAAGUUAGCUACUUUCCCAAAAACAAAAAAACAUUAUUAUUAUUAUAUUUUCUGGGGGGGGGCAACCCAAAUACCUGCAGGCCCACCCACCUAUGAAUUUCCGGGGAAUUUGCAAUUGCAAUUGAAAAACGCUCUUGCCAAGUUUGAAUGCGACAACAGUUAAAAAGGACAGAACAUGGACACAAUGCAAUUGGGAUCAAGAAGAAGGACAGCUGCAUUUGAAGUGUACAUUUAACCUACACAGCAGGCAAUACAAACUGAAAUCUAUUAACAUACAAAUGUGUGCAAAUGAUCUUCUCAGAAAUUAAUCAAGGCCAUGGAAUGGACAUAGACGAAAAGACCAUUCAAGGACUCCGCAAGGCUAGUCGGCAAGAUUAUAGCAGAGGUAGAGAGGCGAGGCAGGGGUGAGGACAUCAUCCAGCUAUUUCGGCAAUCCCUGAAAGACAAUACAGAAGAGACACACAUGGGACUCAAGACCACAGCAGCGAUCCUGCUCUUGCCCUACCUCUUCAAUGAGGACCCGAGUGGACUUUAUGUCCAUGACAAGAUUUCAUCGCUCCCCACUCCUUUACUGCACAUUGGCGGAGAUCCAUUUCACCAUGAGAGUGAAAUCACGCUGGCCUUUUAUGGGAAGAACAUCCUCACCCUAGAGGACGUCCCCAUGGGACUCUGGGCUCUGCUAGGGCUGUAUUUUUUUAUUUUCAGUUACAUUACCCCCCAAAAAUUAAGAAAAAGACUUAUGUUCUUAAGUUAGUUUUACUGGGGCCGGUCAUUGUCACACCCUGACCAUAGAGAGCCCUUGGUUCACUAUGGUGUUGAGGUCAGAGCGUGACGAGGGGUGUUCUAGUUUUCAUAUUUCUAUGUUGGUGUGCUUGGUAUGGUUCCCAAUUAGAGGCAGCUGGUAAUCGUUGCUUCUAAUUGGGGAUCAUAUUUAGGUAGCCUUUUUCCCCAUCUGUGUUUUGUGGGAUAUUGUUUGUGUGUGUGCUAGUUUACACCACCUAUGUUACGUUUCGUUAUGUCUUAAUUUGUUUUGUUCCAAGUUUCACAAAAUAAAAUAUGUGGAACUCAGA